GCAUUGGUGGCUGAGUGGUAGAAUUCUUGCCUUCCAUUUAACAGACCCAGGCUCCAUUCCUGGCCAAUGUA
rnacentral:tRNA from 1 species